rnacentral:rRNA from 1 species
ACGCUGGCGGCACGCCUAACACAUGCAAGUCGAACGAAGUAGCAAUACUUAGUGGCAGACGGGUGAGUAACAUGUAGGUAUCUGCCCUUUGGCCUGGAAUAACACGAGGAAACUUGUGCUAAUACCGGAUAAGUCUUUACGGAGAAAGCUUUAUGCACCAUUGGAUGAGCCUGCACUUGAUUAGUUUGUUGGUGGGGUAAUGGCCUACCAAGACUGUGAUCAAUAGCUGAUUUGAGAGGAUGAUCAGCCACAUUGGGACUGAGACACGGCCCAAACUCCUACGGGAGGCAGCAGUGGGGAAUCUUGCACAAUGGAGGAAACUCUGAUGCAGCGAUGCCGCGUGAGUGAAGAAGGCCCUUGGGUUGUAAAGCUCUUUCGUCGGGGAAGAAAAUGACUGUACCCGAAUAAGAAGGUCCGG